CUACUGAGAGUCAGAGUCCAGCAUUACAGUACAUAGCGGAGCGAUGCAGUGACAGCUGAACCUCUAACCAAAGAAAGGAGGUGAACAAGGAGAUGCAAAUAAAACAAAGGAAGUUUUGGAAUCACUUCCAGAUCAAGAGGAAGAAGUCAUUGGUAUCAUUACUAUGGAAGAUGUUUUAGAGGAACUCUUACAGGAAGAAAUACUAGAUGAAACUGAUGAAUAUGUUGAUGUUCACAAUAAUAUUUUUUAUGUGAUAUGUAAGGAGGAUUAUGGAGGAUUAGGUUUUUAUUUUCUUGGAUUGUGUACUUGUAAUUCUUGAUUUGUUUAGUAAUGCCUUUAUGUUCUCAAGUUGAACACUUGAAGCAUGUUGUUUAGAUCAGAGUAUACAAUUUGUUUGUAUAUUUAUAUGCCUGACAUUGUCUUACU